rnacentral:rRNA from 1 species
GACGAACGCUGGCGGCGUGCCUAAUACAUGCAAGUUGAGCGCUGAAGGUUGGUACUUGUACCAACUGGAUGAGCAGCGAACGGGUGAGUAACGCGUGGGGAAUCUGCCUUUGAGCGGGGGACAACAUUUGGAAACGAAUGCCAAUACCGCAUAAAAACUUUAAACACAAGUUUUAAGUUUGUAAGGUGCAAUUGCAUCACUCAAAGAUGAUCCCGCGUUGUAUUAGCUAGUUGGUGAGGUAAAGGCUCACCAAGGCGAUGAUACAUAGCCGACCUGAGAGGGUGAUCGGCCACAUUGGGACUGAGACACGGCCCAAACUCCUACGGGAGGCAGCAGUAGGGAAUCUUCGGCAAUGGACGAAAGUCUGACCGAGCAACGCCGCGUGAGUGAAGAAGGUUUUCGGAUCGUAAAACUCUGUUGGUAGAGAAGAACGUUGGUGAGAGUGGAAAGCUCAUCAAGUGACGGUAACUACCCAGAAAGGGACGGCUAACUACGUG